rnacentral:misc_RNA from 1 species
GAAAGAUCGCGCUUAGGCACGGGAACAGUGGCAGGAUUGGGUAUUUGCAGCAAUGAAUUUUCGAGAUCCUAAUGCUAGCGAAACCACGAAUCCACGGAGCCUAGACACUUGGAGGACGAUCAACAUAGGGAAAUAAUUAAGAAGCGCGAUUGGAAGGAAGAGGAAACAUCAUUUUCGGAAAUAAAUCGCUAGAUUUAUAAAAAAGUAUUGUUCACGGGUGUACAAUUGGACGAAUCAAGGAUCGUAAUAAGAAUGUUAAAUUAAAUCAUAGAAAUACGUCUUUAUUCACUGUAUCACAGGUUUUCCGAUUACUCUGUGCUGUUAAAUAGGAAUCUCGCUACUGUCACUGUCACAUAGGGAUCUCGCUACUGUCACUGUCACAUAGGGAUCUCGCUGAGUGUACGAUAAUUUUACGCCCCUGUGUCGAUCAGACGAACUAAAGUCUCUGGGAUCACUGGUUCGCCUUCCUGUUAUCUAAGUUCCGUGUUGUUGACAUUCAAGGAUACAGUUAAAGGAUUAUUUUUGGUUGGAAAAAGAAAUGUUAUACGAUUAUAUUGUAAAAAGAUAAAUAACAAUCGUUUUUGUUAAUUUAUAUAUAUAUAUAAUUUGAAAAAAACUUGUUGUGUAAAUUAUUGCAUGUGAUGACUUUAUGCAAAUUAAUUAUAAAUGGAUGAUCUUGUAAAAUUUAAUAUUAAAGAGGUUAAGUGUGAUUUGUUACCGGCUAUAAAUGAAUGCACUCAACGUGGUUUAUUACAUACUAGUAAAUGGCUGGCAGAAUUGAAUUAUUCAUUAAAAGACGUGAAAAUAGAUUUACACGAUGUUACUACAGAUAUCAGUGCGAUAGAAUCCAGUGAAGAAGAUGACACAUAUAUCUUAGCUAAAACUUAUUUUGAUUUAAAAGAAUACGACAGAGCAGCUUAUUUUACUGAAAAAUGUACAACACCAAAAGCAAGAUUUUUGUAUUUGUAUUCUCGUUAUUUGUCAGGAGAGAAAAAGAAAAUAGAUGACAUGACGGAUAUACCACCAGAUCCUAUGAAAAAUGAUUCGUUAAAAUUACUCUGUGCCGAUUUAAGGAAAGAUCAUUUGGCUGGUAAAUUAGAUGGCUUUUGUUUAUAUUUAUUUGGAGUUACUUUGAAAAAACUUCAGCUUAACAAAGAGGCAACCGAAGUUUUGAUUGAAUCCACUCACAAGCAACCAAUGCACUGGGGUACUUGGUUAGAAUUAGCUGCAUUAAUCACUGAUAGAGAAAAAUUGGAAAGUUUACGUCUACCAAAUCAUUGGAUAAAACAUUUCUUUAUGGCACACAUGUAUUUGGAGUUGCAACUUAUCGACGAGGGUUUAGCCAUGUAUUGUGAAUUACAGUCUAUGGGUUUUGAAAAAAAUUCCUAUGUACUUGCUCAAACUGCAAUUGCUGUUCACUAUAGGAGAGACGUUGACAAUGCUAUAAAAACAUUCAAGCAUAUAAUUAAAGAGGAUCCGUAUUGUCUUGACAAUAUGGAUACAUAUUCAAAUUUACUUUAUGUUAAAGAAAUGAAAGUAGAAUUAGCAUAUUUAGCGCAUAGAGCAACGGAAAUAGAUAAAUAUCGAUUGGAAACAUGUUGCAUAGUAGGCAAUUAUUAUAGUUUAAGAGCAGAUCAUCAGAAAGCAGUGUUGUAUUUUCACAGAGCAUUGAAACUUAAUCCACAGUAUUUAUCCGCUUGGACGUUACUUGGUCAUGAGUUUAUGGAAAUGAAAAAUACUAAUGGUGCAAUUCAUAGUUAUCGUCAAGCCAUAGAAGUUAAUAGAAGGGAUUAUAGAGCGUGGUAUGGUUUGGGUCAGACUUAUGAAAUUUUGAAGAUGCCUUCUUACGGGUUGUACUAUUACAAACAGGCACAACUUUUGAGACCUCACGAUAGUCGUAUGGUUCUUGCAUUGGGUGAAGCAUACGAAAAACAAGAUAAAAUUCAAGAUGCACUCAAGUGUUAUUUUAAAGCAUGCAACGUAGGGGACAUUGAAGGAGUAGCUUUAAUAAAAUUAGCUAAUCUUUAUGAAAAGUUGGGUGAACACGAUCAUGCAGCAGCAGCCUAUACAGAUUUUGUAAUGGAUGAAUUUAGAAAUGCUGAUAGAACUGAACUGAGUCAUGCUUACAAGUAUCUUACGCAGUAUCAUUUGAAACGUGAACAAUUAGAUAGAGCAAAUCAUUAUGCACAAAAAUGUCUUCAAUUUGAUGAAACCAAAGAGGAAGCUAAAGGACUCUUAAGAACAAUUGCACAGAAACGAGCAAAAGUUGAAGAGACUUCAAUGGUGGUAGAAGAUAUGAAUGAAACUGAUCCGGUUAUAGAGCAAAAUGCAAGGACAGAUGCCACACCAGGAAAUCAAUUGUCACCCAUGAAUUUGUCCUUCACUCCUACACCAUAGUAAAAAAAAAAACAAACAAAAAGCAUGGACACACGCAAGCAUGCAUCGCACGCGAGCAACCAGUAUGCAGUUGUUAACAAGCACACAGCAUGAGAGGCAACCAGCCAAAUAUGCUUAAAGUGGAACAGCUUCUUGAACAAUAUCGCAACGAGCUUCGAGAGUCUUUG